rnacentral:rRNA from 1 species
UGCCAGCCGCCGCGGUAAUACGGGGGGUGCAAGCGUUGCUCGGAAUCACUGGGCGUAAAGCGUACGCAGGCGGCCUAUUAAGUCGGAUGUGAAAGCCCCGGGCUCAACCCGGGAAUUGCAUUCGAAACUGGUAGGCUUGAGUGUGAGAGAGGGAAGUGGAAUUCCAGGUGUAGAGGUGAAAUUCGUUGAUAUCUGGAGGAACACCGGCGGCGAAGGCGGCUUCCUGGCUCACAACUGACGCUCAUGUACGAAAGCGUGGGUAGCAAACAGGAUUAGAUA